GGAAGCUUGAUUGCCAUACAGCACACUUCCUGUCCUCUGUGCACUAGGGAAGCCUCUCAAAUGGCAACAGAAAGUGGUUGGUUUCUUUGAAGAGCAUUUGAACUGAGUGAAUUUUCAAAAAGCGUGGCAUUGACAGAACAAUGAAAGUCCCAGCAGCAGCAAGAACGAGCCGUGCACCAUCACUGCUGCAGUGACCGGCCUGCACCCCGCAGAGCUCUGAUCGCCUCUCUGGGGGCUGCUGUAAGAAAACACCUGGGUGGUCUCCGACCCCAGCACUCGGGUGGCUCCUCUGAAAGAGAUGCUGUUCCCGA
rnacentral:lncRNA from 1 species